CCUGGUGACAAACCGAUAACUGCAUCAGUUGCGGUGAAUCCCGCUAAGCGCAGGGGUGGCAGACUGAAGCAUCGUUUUUCUUUCCUGGCCACGAGCCAGAUUCAGUCACUGGCUCACCGGGAGGCACCCGGCACCGCAACAACUAUUCACAGUCCUGGCACGGUCUUCAGUCUUUUCCACAGCGGUAUUUUUUCCAGC
rnacentral:sRNA from 1 species